CAGGUUUGCUGCUGAUAAACAGCCACUUUCUGUGGAUUAACCCGUUCUUACAGGCUUAGGGUUUUGUUCCAAGUACUUUACAUGGAUCAGCUCUUCUGUGCCCACAACCAUCCCAUCAGCCACAAAUGAAAAUGACCCUCUUGAC